AACGAAUGCUGGCGGCAUGCCUAACACAUGCAAGUCGAACGAGAUCUUCGGAUCUAGUGGCGCACGGGUGCGUAACGCGUGGGAAUCUACCCUUGGGUUCGGAAUAACAGUUGGAAACGACUGCUAAUACCGGAUAAUGACGUAAGUCCAAAGAUUUAUCGCCCAAGGAUGAGCCCGCGUAGGAUUAGCUAGUUGGUGAG
rnacentral:rRNA from 1 species